rnacentral:rRNA from 1 species
GGACCCGCACAAGCGGUGGAGCAUGUGGUUUAAUUCGACGCAACGCGAAGAACCUUACCAGGUCUUGACAUCUACUUGACCAUCGGAGUAACGUCCGACUUCCUUCGGGACAAGUAAGACAGGUGGUGCAUGGUUGUCGUCAGCUCGUGUCGUGAGAUGUUGGGUUAAGUCCCGCAACGAGCGCAACCCUUAUCUUUAGUAGCCAGCAGGUAAAGCUGGGCACUCUAGAGAGACUGCCGGGGAUAACCCGGAGGAAGGCGGGGAUGACGUCAAAUCAUCAUGCCCCUUAUGAUCUGGGCUACACACGUGCUACAAUGGCGACUACAAAGAGAAGCAAAGCUGUGAAGCGGAGCAAAUCCCAAAAAGGUCGUCCCAGUUCGGAUUGUAGUCUGCAACUCGACUACAUGAAGCUGGAAUCGCUAGUAAUCGCGAAUCAGAAUGUCG